rnacentral:ncRNA from 1 species
CUGUCGAGUAGAAGCGGUUAACGCCGACGCGUUCCCCAAGCGGGCGGACGCGUACCGGCGUGGGACAUUGCUCUCGCG